rnacentral:rRNA from 1 species
UACGUAGGGCGCAAGCGUUAUCCGGAAUUAUUGGGCGUAAAGAGCUCGUAGGCGGUUCGUCACGUCGGGUGUGAAAACUCGGGGCUUAACCCCGAGCCUGCUUCCGAUACGGGCAGACUAGAGGUAGGCAGGGGAGAGCGGAACUCCUGGUGUAGCGGUGGAAUGCGCAGAUAUCAGGAGGAACACCGAUGGCGAAGGCAGCACUCUGGGCCGGUACUGACGCUGAGGUGCGAAAGCGUGGGGAGCAAACAGG